GAUGGAAGCUGGGAUUUUCCACUGCCUGGAACCAUCACUCUCUACACUGCCCUUUAGUCUCCCAGAGGGAAAAGUACCCGGAUUUCCAAGCCCACAGAGGAGAAUCUCCACCUGCCGUCCACACUGCAGUGAAGGCACGGAGAGUUGGCUGCCCAGAUCUGUGGUCAUUAGAGGGACAGUUCGAAAUUGAAAAGUACCUGGAAAUACAUGGCUUGCAAGUUUAAAUCUGGAGAUUCCUCCUCCAAGAGUUCCUACUGACUUUGGGCAGUAACCUUGAUGUUCCGGCCACCCAACACUGUAACUUGAGAAACGCUGCUGGCCAGGAAGAAAGAAGCCCAUGGAGCCUUUCUGGAGCGGAUCAAACCCCGUGUUCCAGUGGACUGCAGGCACCCUUUCUGAAUACCCAAAGAUAGUUUGUGUGGCUUCUGCAAGACAUCCUGCCAUGUGGCUAUCUUCUCACCUAAGAAGACGAGGAACUUCUGGAGUGCCAUGUUGACCUUGAAGGUGACAAUGACACCAACCAUUACUGGAAUAUCAUGACAGAGUGAAAGUGCUACACCAGAUCCACCUCCCCCCACCCCCAUAUGGCAGGAUACUUACAGAAGGACCAGACAAUACAGUGCAAGUAAACACUCCCA